AGAUUGAACGCUGGCGGCAGGCCUAACACAUGCAAGUCGAGCGGUAGAGAGGUGCUUGCACCUCUUGAGAGCGGCGGACGGGUGAGUAAUGCCUAGGAAUCUGCCUAGUGGUGGGGGAUAACGUUCGGAAACGGACGCUAAUACCGCAUACGUCCUACGGGAGAAAGCGGGGGACCUUCGGGCCUCGCGCCAUUAGAUGAGCCUAGGUCGGAUUAGCUAGUGGUGAGGUAAUGGCUCACCAAGGCGACGAUCCGUAACUGGUCUGAGAGGAUGAUCAGUCACACUGGAACUGAGACACGGUCCAGACUACCGUACGGGAGGCAGCAGUGGGGAAUAGUUGGAACAAUGGGACGAAAGGCCUGGAU
rnacentral:rRNA from 1 species